rnacentral:lncRNA from 1 species
GAUAAACCUAUUUGUUAUGUCCAUUCUAUUCUUACAUGGCUGUGAGUCCAUGCUAUUAGCAUAUAGCUCUCUAUAAUGUUAUUACAUAGUGUAUGUUCAUACUGUUAUAUAUAUUAGAUUUGUUUUGUUUUGUCCUUACUGUUAUUGUGUAUCUGUGUUAGAUUUUAAAAGGAAUUCCAUAACUUAGAAAUAAUUGAUUUAUCUUGAUGGAUUUGUGCACAAAUAUAUGUAGUGAUAUUUUAUUGAAUGUGUAUGAAUAUAAUUUAAUUU